UACGUAGGGUGCAAGCGUUAUCCGGAAUUAUUGGGCGUAAAGAGCUCGUAGGCGGUUCGACAAGUCGGGUGUGAAAACUCCGGGCUCAACCCGGAGACGCCACCCGAUACUGUCGUGACUGGAGUCCGGUAGGGGAGUGGGGAAUUCCUGGUGUAGCGGUGAAAUGCGCAGAUAUCAGGAGGAACACCGGUGGCGAAGGCGCCACUCUGGGCCGGUACUGACGCUGAGGAGCGAAAGCGUGGGUAGCAAACAGG
rnacentral:rRNA from 1 species